UCUCCAUCCCGCGCGCUGCCUCCUCCCGGACCCCGAAACUGGACCUGGAAGCAGCCUACUUGAACUUCAUGCUCAGGCAGUCGGGCGCCGCAAAGAUCUUACUCGACAAACACCGUCUCUGUUAUGAACCCAUUACAUCCUGAUUACUAAGGUGGCUGAAUCUUAAGAAGGUUUAGUAUUAUUUGGCCACUUCUGCAAUUAGUCCUGUAUUUGUAACCCAUCUUGGGGGGAAAAUAAAAUAAAGCAGGCUAUA